rnacentral:rRNA from 1 species
GACGAACGCUGGCGGCGCGCUUAACACAUGCAAGUCGAACGGAAAGGCCUGCUUUCCCUUGUGGAUUGCGGGUACUCGAGUGGCGAACGGGUGAGUAACACGUGAGUGAUCUGCCCCCAACUUGGGUAUAAGCCUGGGAAACUGGGUCUAAUUCCCGAUAGGACUGCAGGGUGGUGCCUGUGGUGGAAAACGAUUUUCUAGUGGUUGGGGAUGAGCUCGCGGCCUAUCAGCUUGUUGGUGGGGUAAUGGCCUACCAAGGCGGCGACGGGUAGCCGGCCUGAGAGGAUGGACGGACACAUUGGGACUGAGAUACGGCCCAGACUCCUACGGGAGGCAGCAGUGGGGAAUAUUGCACAAUGGGCGGAAGCCUGAUGCAGCGACGCCGCGUGGGGGAUGACGGCCUUCGGGUUGUAAACUCCUUUCGACCGCGAGGAAGCCACCUGGUUGGAAGGGUGGUGACGGUAGUGGUAGAAGAAGCACCGGCUAACUACGUG